CCCUCCCUAGCCUUCUCCGCCUAUAUACCGCCGUCGUCAGCUUACCCUGUGAAGGAUUAAUAGUAAGCACAAUUGGUACAACCCAAAACGUCAGGCCGAGGUGUAGUGCAUGAGAGGGGAAGAAAUGGGCUACAUUCGCUGCUCAUCAGCGAAUAACGAAUGAUGCAUUGAAACAUGCAGCUGAAGGAGGAUUUAGCAGUAAGCGGGAAAUAGAGUGUUCCGCUGAAACCGGCUCUUAAGCGCGCACACACCGCCCGUCACCCUCCCCAAGCUCCUGGACCCCAACAGUACUUUAAACCCUAACAAAUGCGAAGGAGAGGAAAGUCGUAACAUGGUAAGCGUACCGGAAGGUGCGCUUGGUAAAAU
rnacentral:rRNA from 1 species